UGCUAAACGCAAACCAGCUCGGAGACGAUGAUGCGAACCCCAAAAAGAGGCUUUUUUUUCUCUGUAAAUGCAAGGAGAUCGAGUCCCUGGAAUGGCUUCGUCCCGAGAUAGGGAUGGUGGCUCCGUAGAGGAGUGCGGCUCUUGCGCUGUCCGGUGCGUCCGCGUCGGCCCUUGAAACUCCGAUAGAGAGA
rnacentral:rRNA from 1 species